GCUCUACUGACCCUUCAAUGUGCCCGUGUGCCUAAAUAUUCCUGGUCGUGUGAAAAGAACCCAGGUAUUAGCUGAACUAAGGAGCACAAUUCUGCAACAUUUUGGCACCCAAACACGGGGCUUGAGAAAUGAAUGCAAUUGGAGAAACUGGUUGUUUUACCAGGCGUUGAUUGGAAAUGUGUGCUUCCCUUUAAGCAGUCAAGCUCAACUUGCAGAACUGAUGGGAACCCCUUGGGAAAACUGGCCUCAAAUGUUUGUCUACACAGUCCACAUACAGGGUUCUUAACCUGCGUUUUUACCUACAUUUUAGACUGACCCUGCUUGUGCCUGUGAACCAACCAACAAUCUCUGGCUGCAGCUCAGAAAGGACAAAAGAGAAUGGCAUAUUUAACUAUCCGGCUAUUUUGGAGAUUGAAAAAAGAAGACCUGAUUUAUCAUGUGCAAUAUCUCACACAUCUGUCAUUUCUAUUCUACCGCAAUUCGAUGGAGUCUUGUUCUGUGGUCCAGGCUAGAGGGCAGUGGCAUGAUCUCGGCUCACUACAAGCUCUGCCUCCCGGGUUCACGCCAUUCUCCUGCCUCAGCCUCCUGAGUAGCUGGGACUACAGGCGCCCGCCACCACGCCUGGCUAAUUUUUUGUAUAUUUACUAGAGAUGGCUAGUGUUAGCCAAGAUGGUCUCGAUCUCCUGACCUCGUGAUCUGCCCACCUCAGCCUGCCAAAGUGCUGGGAUUACUGGCGUGAGCCACCGUGCCUGGCCAGCAUCCUCUAAUUAUUAUUCAUAGUUUGUGAAUUUAGGCCUACGUGAAUAAUAAUAUAAUAUUUACUAUGAUGUUACUAUCUACCAACCUUAUUUUUCUUUUCUAUAAAAUAGGAGCCAAAAUAAUAUUUAUGUCAUACCUUAUGAAGUUAAAAUAAAAUAUAACGAAUGAGGGGCUUAACAA
rnacentral:lncRNA from 1 species